rnacentral:rRNA from 1 species
GAUGAGCGCUAGCUACAGGCUUAACACAUGCAAGUCGAGGGGAAACGAUAUUGGAAGCUUGCUUCCGAUAGGCGUCGACCGGCGCACGGGUGAGUAACGCGUAUCCAACCAGCCCACCACUUGGGAAUAACCUUGCGAAAGUAAGACUAAUGCCCAAUGAUAUCUCUAGAAGACAUCUGAAGGAGAUUAAAGAUUUAUCGGUGAUGGAUGGGGAUGCGUCUGAUUAGCUUGUUGGCGGGGUAACGGCCCACCAAGGCGACGAGCGGUAGGGGUGCUGAGAGUAAGGUCCCCCACAUUGGGACUGAGACACGAUCCAGACUCCUACGGGAGGCAGCAGUGAGGAAUAUUGGUCAAUGGGCGAGAGCCUGAACCAGCCAAGUAGCGUGCAGGAUGACGGCCAUAUGGGUUGUAAACUGCUUUUAUAAGGGAAUAAAGUUAGUCUCGUGAGACUUUUUGCAUGUACCUUAUGAAUAAGGACCGGCUAAUUCCGUGCCAGCCGCCGCGGUAA